AUUGAACGCUGGCGGCAUGCCUUACACAUGCAAGUCGAACGGUAACAGGUUAAGCUGACGAGUGGCGAACGGGUGAGUAAUAUAUCGGAACGUGCCCAGUCGUGGGGGAUAACUGCUCGAAAGAGCAGCUAAUACCGCAUACGACCUGAGGGUGAAAGCGGGGGAUCGCAAGACCUCGCGCGAUUGGAGCGGCCGAUAUCAGAUUAGGUAGUUGGUGGGGUAAAGGCCUACCAAGCCUACGAUCUGUAGCUGGUCUGAGAGGACGACCAGCCACACUGGGACGGGGACACGGCCCAGACGCCUACGGGAGGCAGCAGUGGGGAAUUUUGGACAAUGGACGCAAGUCUGAUCCAGCCAUGCCGCGUGCGGGAAGAAGGCCUUCGGGUUGUAAACCGCUUUUGUCAGGGAAGAAAAGGUUCUGGUUAAUACCUGGGACUCAUGACGGUACCUGAAGAAUAAGCACCGGCUAACUACGUGCCAGCAGCCGCCGUAAAAC
rnacentral:rRNA from 1 species